UACGCACGCUGGCGGCGUGCUUAACACAUGCAAGUCGAACGGAAAGGCCCUGAUUUUGUGGGGUGCUCGAGUGGCGAACGGGUGAGUAAAACGUGAGUAACCUGUACUUGUCAUUGGGAUAACAUCAGGAAACUGGGGCUCUUAUAGGGUAGGAGCUCCUGAUGCAUGGUGGGGGAUGGAAAGUUUCGGCGGUUGGGGAUGGAAUCGCGGCUUAUGAGCUUGUUGGUGGGGUUGUGGCUUACCAAGCCUUUGAAGGGUAGCCGGCCUGAUAGGGUGACCGGCCACAAUAGGACUGAGAUACGGCCCAGAAUGCUACGGGAGGCAGCAGUGGGGAAUAUUGCAUAAUGGGCGGAAGCCUGAUGCAGCGACGCCGCGAUCGGUAUGACGUCCUUCGAUUUGUAAACCGCUUUCUCCGGUGACGAAGCGUGAGUGACGGUAAUGGGUAAAGAAGCACCGGCUAACUACGUG
rnacentral:rRNA from 1 species